CAGAGCGUGAGUAAGAGAACAGGAUGGCAUUUCUAAGAAAAGCAUUAUGCAUGUCCUGGUGAGGUGAGCUCUAGGGAGAGGAACACCUGGAACCACUUUCUUGAGACCAGAACCGUGAUCAGUCGGAGAGAGAAGUCAACGAGUCUGGUCAGCCUGAGCAGGGAAUAAGUGAUCAAUGAUGGAGGCAUGGCGAGGAGACUGGACUCUUCCCCGAGGUUGACUUGUACUAAAUGGAUGCCCGUGACCAAUGGUGUUUCUUUAGGCUAAACUGCAUAAUGCGUCUUUAAUGUGGUAAAAGAAGAUCACCCAACUCACUUUUAACUGAUGAAGCUGAAACCAGAUCUCUAGAGGUGAAAGCCUGUGCAUUAACCCUGUGAUAAUAGAUUUCCAGAUGGCUGGAAUUGGACCUCUGUCUCUGCCCUUGGCCGGUGAUAUUGACCAAUAAACUGCUUUCUGUCAAUCGAU